rnacentral:rRNA from 1 species
GACGAACGCUGGCGGCGUGCUUAACACAUGCAAGUCGAACGGAAAGGCCUGCUUUCCCUUGUGGAUUGCGGGUACUCGAGUGGCGAACGGGUGAGUAACACGUGAGUGAUCUGCCCCCAACUUGGGUAUAAGCCUGGGAAACUGGGUCUAAUUCCCGAUAGGGCUGCAGGGUGGUGCCUGUGGUGGAAAACGAUUUUCUAGUGGUUGGGGAUGAGCUCGCGGCCUAUCAGCUUGUUGGUGGGGUAAUGGCCUACCAAGGCGGCGACGGGUAGCCGGCCUGGGGGGGUGGACGGCCACAUUGGGACUGAGAUACGGCCCAGACUCCUACGGGAGGCAGCAGUGGGGAAUAUUGCACAAUGGGCGGAAGCCUGAUGCAGCGACGCCGCGUGGGGGAUGACGGCCUUCGGGUUGUAAACUCCUUUCGACCGCGAGGAAGCCACCUGGUUGGAAGGGUGGUGACGGUAGUGGUAGAAGAAGCACCGGCUAACUACGUG